AACGAACGCUGGCGGCAUGCCUAACACAUGCAAGUCGAACGACUCCUUCGGGUCUAGUGGCGCACGGGUGCGUAACGCGUGGGAACCUGCCCUUAGGUUCGGCAUAACUCCCCGAAAGGGGUGCUAAUACCGGAUAAUGUCUUCGGACCAAAGAUUUAUCGCCUUUGGAUGGGCCCGCGUUGGAUUAGCUAGUUGGUAGGGUAAAAGCCUACCAAGGCGACGAUCCAUAGCUGGUCUGAGAGGAUGAUCAGCCACACUGGGACUGAGACACGGCCCAGACUCCUACGGGAGGCAGCAGUGGGGAAUAUUGGACAAUGGGCGAAAGCCUGAUCCAGCAAUGCCGCGUGAGUGAUGAAGGCCUUAGGGUUGUAAAGCUCUUUUACCCGGGAUGAUAAUGACAGUACCGGGAGAAUAAGCUCCGGCUAACUCCGUG
rnacentral:rRNA from 1 species